CACACACACACGAACACCUACUAAAGUGCCUCCGUGAUGGAGAAUGGAGUGGUUACAGGAAAACUGCACAUUGAGUGUACGUGUGCGUGUGUGUGUGUGUACAUGUGUUCUUUGUGGACUUUGGAAACACUUCCAAGGUGCCAUGUAACUCUCUCUGGAACUUCCUGCUGACCGGCAAGCUCUGCCCUUUCAGGCUCAGGAGUUCAGCGUGGCGUGUUUGGCAUCAUCGGCACAGUCAGUCAAGAACUGCAGUUCAUAGAAACCUCUUCACGGCUAAAGCUGCAGAGAUGGAGGUCGAGGGGACCAUGAAGAGGCGGCUCCAGCUGGCAUGAGAUCGAGAGUGUGGGCGCAAGAGCAGACUUUUGAUAAAGGAGGGUAUUUACAGUGUUUUAACUGCUGUGUUUUUUGCGCUAUUAUUAAUUUGUUAAAAUGUUCAUAUUAUAGUCUAUUUUUAAUUGUUUAUAAAAGUCCUUGCUGUUUUUAAGUGGCUGAAUUAGUGUGUGUGCGCGUGUGUGUGUGCGUGUGUGUUGGUAGCUGGGUGGGUAUAUAGUUCUGGUCUGAAGUUGACAUACCCCUUGCAGGAGAAAGAGACCCUGUGUAAUCUGUUUAGACGACUUUUACGCAUGUUUUGCAGAGAGAUCAUUUUCACCUUGCUGUUUGGGUCUCUGUCCCACACUGUUACAGUGCAGUAUUGAGAGCGCGCGAGGGAGAUCAAUUUUCUAUCAGAAACAGUAACUAUAUAAAAUGGACGUCAACACGCACCACUCUGUGAGGUCAUUUCUCGCUCUCAACAGAGUAGUUGUGAUUGUUCAGUGUUUACGACAGGGCCAAAACAUUCAAGGCCAUGGUGUAUUUUGACUGUUCCUGUAGCAUAAUCUCACCAAACUGUGUGUACACGAGUCCACAGACACUGAGUCUAUUCACAGUUCCAUGCUGUGUAGAUGUUCUGCUCAUCCUCACUGUACCGUAAAGGUCAGAACCUCACAUCUGUAACCUUGUAGCUUUCCUUAAUCAACACGACUGCAACCAAGCGUGUGUAUAAAUACUAUUUUUAGAUCUCCGCCUCUCAAAAGUAUUGGCGCCCUGCGCGUCCGCCUCUCAAAUCUAUUGGCGCCCUACGCGUCCGGCUCUCAAAUCUAUUGGCGCCCUAUGCGGCCGGCUCUCAAAUCUAUCACCGCCCUACGCGGCCGGCUCUCAAAUGUAUUGGCGCCCUACGCGUCCGGCUCUCAAAACUAUUGGUGCCCUUAGUGUCGGCUCUCAAAAGUAUUGGCGCCCUUCACGGGCAGCUCUCAAAAGUAUUGGCACCCGAUCCAAAUUUUGCCACGGCAAGCACCACUCACAUUUUCUUCAGGAAAUGUACCUUAAAAUAAUAAAAGGUCUCUCACUAGGCUGUGUGUCGAGAUAAACGUAAAAACAUCUUGAGCUUGUGUUCACCACAGACCUUAUUUCCGGCAUUUAACCCAAAACCCCAUUGACGGAAGUGCUAAUACGCUGACUCGUUUCUGGGUUUCACGACUCAUUCCUGCAGCACUCUGUAAGACGGGCUGUUGUUAUCAAACCAUUGAAAUCGGAUAAGCGCUUUGGUAAUGAUUCUUUAAAUGAACCGAUUCAGAAUCCUCUUCUUGAAUCGUUUGAGUCGUUCUCACUCGGUCAGGGUUGCGCGUGUGGGUUGCUUUUCCUGCACGUGUAAUCAGCAUGUGUUCACAGACCGUAAAUCCCGACCCCAUGGUAGACACUCGACAGAAAUUUCAUACUAAAGUAUUUUAUAUUUUCUGGGUCUAAACAGAGCAGAAGUAUUGCUAAUGUGUUGUACAGAUUCUAUUGGACUGGUGAACGGUGUGGAUUUGUAUAUUUAACCCAGUUUAAUAUGGCCUGUUUUGUUCCGUCAGAGACAAGUAAAUCUGUUCUAAUGUUCAUUUAUUUUCCAUAGAUAAAACAAAUGUUUGCUUACACAUGAAUACGUACUUUAUGCCUUCAGAAUGGUGGAGAUUUGUCUCUUAACUAUUUUAAAUUUGGUUCUCUUCAACAGGUUGUGUUUGAGUUGUGCAGGCUUGUGUCACCUGACUUAAAGAAGGCAUUGUUUGAAGGGCUUGAUCAGCAUCUCCCACGGCUCCUGCAGUUGUACAACACUGAGAGGCAGUGAAAUACCCGAAAUCCAACAUGUGAUGACCCGCAUUGAUCAAGAGGCAGAGGAAGCUCAGCGAAAGCUUAAGAGACAGAAUGGAGAGGACCCAGGUAAGCUAUUUCUUCAGUGAUUGUAGUCAUAUCUGAAAAUGAUUGGUCAGUUGAAUGCAGAUUGCUGAAGUGUGAGUGUCUGUGUGUGUCGUAGCCCUGCCUCCAUUCUGCCCACUGUUUGCCAGCUUGGGAAACAUUCUGCAGUGUGACGUGCUGCUUGGCAUGCUGGGAGCUGUGCUGCAGUGGGCUAUGGAGCCCAGGGAGGACACUGGUCUGAGUCCAUGCUGCAGAGGGUAAAUGUUUGGAUGUUUUGUUAAAAUGA